rfam:Photobacterium ganghwense strain DSM 22954 contig0013, whole genome shotgun sequence.
GCAAUCUCAGGGGGACAUUUUACUGAGACACACGGCAUAAAAAUGUAUUCGGGCUGAUUGCAUUUUUUAUGCGAUUGUAGGUAUUGGUCAUGCUAGUGGCCAAUAGAAGGGCAUUAAUAGCGCUGACUGCCGGCCAAAGAACCCGCAGCGGCAUAUUGAGGGAACCCAACU